GUGAGGAAUAUUGGACAAUGGGCGCAAGCCUGAUCCAGCCAUGCCGCGUGCAGGAAGACGCAUCUAUGGUGUGUAAACUGCUUUUGUACGGGAAGAAACACUCCCUCGUGAGGGAGCUUGACGGUACCGUAAGAAUAAGGAUCGGCUAACUCCGUGCCAGCAGCCGCGGUAAUACGGAGGAUCCAAGCGUUAUCCGGAAUCAUUGGGUUUAAAGGGUCCGUAGGCGGUUUAAUAAGUCAGUGGUGAAAGCCCACCGCUCAACGAUGGAACGGCCAUUGAUACUGUUAGACUUGAAUUACAAGGAAGUAACUAGAAUAUGUAGUGUAGCGGUGAAAUGCUUAGAUAUUACAUGGAAUACCAAUUGCGAAGGCAGGUUACUACUUGUGGAUUGACGCUGAUGGACGAAAGCGUGGGGAGCGAACAGGAUUAGAAACCCGUGUAGUCC
rnacentral:rRNA from 1 species